GGGGGAUCAGUUGGGUAGCAAUACCUGGCUGUGAGACCGGCAAACGGGUGAGGAACACGUACGCAACUUUCCCAAAACUGGUGAAUAGCCCUCCGAAAGGAGGAUUAAUACACCGUAACAUAACGAAAUGGCAUCAUUUUGNUAUUAUAGCAGCAAUGCGGUUUUGGAUAGGCGUGCGCCUGAUUAGGUAGUUGGCGGGGUAACGGCCCACCAAGCCUACGAUCAGUAACUGGUGUGAGAGCACGACCAGUCACACGGGCACUGAGACACGGGCCCGACUCCUACGGGAGGCAGCAGUAAGGAAUAUUGGGCAAUGGACGAAAGUCUGAACCAGCCAUGCCGCGUGAAGGAUGAAGGUCCUCUGGAUUGUAAACUUCUUUUAUCUGGGACGAAAAAAGGGAAUUCUUUCUCACUUGACGGUACCAGAAGAAUAAGCACCGGCUAACUCCGUGCCAGCAGCCGCGGUAAUACGGAGGGUGCAAGCGUUAUCCGGAUU
rnacentral:rRNA from 1 species